CGAACCGUGCGAACGUUGUUCGGAAUCACUGGGCUUAAAGGGCGCGUAGGCGGGUUUUCAAGUCUGUGGUGAAAGCCUCCAGCUUAACUGGAGAAGUGCCGUGGAUACUGGAGACCUCGAGGAGGGUAGGGGCAUCUGGAACAGCCGGUGGAGCGGUGAAAUGCGUUGAUAUCGGCUGGAACUCCGAUGGCGAAGGCAAGGUGCUGGACCCUCUCUGACGCUGAGGCGCGAAAGCCAGGGGAGCGAACGGGAUUAGAUACCCCGGUAGUCCUGGCCCUAAACGAUGAGAACUAGGUAGUGGACUUACAUGGGUUCACUGUCGAAGCAAAAAUGCUAAGUUCUCCGCCUGGGGAGUAUGGUCGCAAGGCUG
rnacentral:rRNA from 1 species